rnacentral:rRNA from 1 species
UACGGGGGGGGCAAGCGUUGUUCGGAAUUACUGGGCGUAAAGGGUCUGUAGGUGGCCAACUAAGUCAGACGUGAAAUCCCUCAGCUUAACUGGGGAACUGCGUCUGAUACUGGUUGGCUUGAGUGCAGGAGAGGAACGCGGAAUUCCAGGUGUAGCGGUGAAAUGCGUAGAUAUCAGGAGGAACACCGAUGGCGAAGGCAGGUCUCUGGGCUGACACUGACGCUCAUGCACGAAAGCGUGGGGAGCAAACAGG